rnacentral:rRNA from 1 species
GACGAACCGAGCAAACGUUAUUCGGAAUCACUGGGCUUAAAGGGCGCGUAGGCGGGCAUUCAAGUCUGUGGUGAAAUCCGACAGCUCAACUGUCGAACUGCCGUGGAUACUGGGUGUCUCGAGGGAGGUAGGGGCGCGCGGAACUAUUGGUGGAGCGGUGAAAUGCGUUGAUAUCAAUAGGAACUCCGGUGGCGAAGGCGGCGCGCUGGACCUCUUCUGACGCUGAGGCGCGAAAGCCAGGGGAGCAAACGGG